rnacentral:rRNA from 1 species
CGGGCCCGCCACAGGCGCGAAAACUUUGCAAUGUGCGAAAGCACGACAAGGUUAAUUCGAGUGGUUUCUGCUAAAGAAACCUUUUGCUAGUCCUAGAAACACUAGUGAAUAAGGGGUGGGCAAGUUCUGGUGUCAGCCGCCGCGGUAAAACCAGCACCUCAAGUGGUCAGGAUGAUUAUUGGGCCUAAAGCAUCCGUAGCUCGUUUUGUAAGUUUUCGGUUAAAUCCAUACGCUUAACGUAUGGGCUGCCGGGAAUACUGCAUAACUAGGAAGUGGGAGAGGUAGACGGUACUCGGUAGGAAGGGGUAAAAUCCGUUGAUCCAUUGAUGACCACCUGUGGCGAAGGCGGUCUACCAGAACACGUUCGACGGUGAGGGAUGAAAGCUGGGGGAGCAAACCGGAUUAGAUACCCGGGUAGUCCCAGCUGUAAACGAUGCAAACUCAGUGAUGAAUUGGCUUAUUGCCAAUGCAGUGCUGCAGGGAAGCCGUUAAGUUGCCGCC